AUGAGCUAUAUGGACGGUUUCGUGAUCCCCGUGCCCAAGGGCAACAAGGAGCGGUACAGGGAAGUGGCGGCCUAUGCCGCGCCGAUCUUCAUCGAACAUGGCGCGCUGCGGGUCGUGGAAUGCUGGGCGAACGACGUCAAGCUAGGCAAGGUCAACGAUUUCCGCACCGCCGUGAUCGCGGAGGAGGAUGAGGAGGUCGUCUUUUCCUGGAUCGAAUGGCCCGACAAGGCGACUCGCGAUGCAGGGGCGGAGAAGGUCAUGAACGAUCCGCGGAUGGAGCCGAAGGAAGGGGAAGACAUGCCUUUCGCCGGUGCGCGGCUGAUCUAUGGCGGGUUCGAGGUGCUGCUCGACGCAAGGGCCUGA
rnacentral:SRP_RNA from 1 species